rnacentral:misc_RNA from 1 species
GAAAUGCGAUAAGUAAUGUGAAUUGCAGAAUUCAGUGAAUCAUCGAAUCUUUGAACGCAGCUUGCGCUCCUUGGUAUUCCUUGGAGCAUGCCUGUUUGAGUAUCAUGAAAUCUUCAAAGUAAAUCUUUUGUUAACUCAAUUGGUUUCUACUUUGGUAUUGGAGGUCUUUGCAGCUUCACACCUGCUCCUCUUUGUUCAUUAGCUGGAUCUCAGUGUUAUGCUUGGUUCCACUCGGCGUGAUAAGUUAUCUAUCGCUGAGGACACUGUAAAAGGUGGCCAAGGUAAAUGCAGAUGUACCGCUUCUAAUAGUCCAUUGACUUGGACAAUACUUUUAUGAUCUGAUCUCAAAUCAGGUAGGACUACCCGCUGAACUUAAGC